GAUGAACGCUGGCGGCGUGCUUAACACAUGCAAGUCGAACGGAAAGGCCCAAGCUUGCUUGGGUACUCGAGUGGCGAACGGGUGAGUAACACGUGGGUGAUCUGCCCUGCACUUCGGGAUAAGCCUGGGAAACUGGGUCUAAUACCGGAUAGGACCACGUCUUGGAUGUUGUGGUGGAAAGUUUUUUCGGUGUGGGAUGAGCUCGCGGCCUAUCAGCUUGUUGGUGGGGUAAUGGCCUACCAAGGCGGCGACGGGUAGCCGGCCUGAGAGGGUGUACGGCCACAUUGGGACGGAGAUACGGCCCAGACUCCUACGGGAGGCAGCAGUGGGGAAUAUUGCACAAUGGGCGCAAGCCUGAUGCAGCGACGCCGCGUGGGGGAUGACGGCCUUCGGGUUGUAAACUCCUUUCGCUAGGGACGAAGCGUUUUUGUGACGGUACCUGGAGAAGAAGCACCGGCUAACUACGUG
rnacentral:rRNA from 1 species